GACGAACGCUGGCGGCGUGCUUAACACAUGCAAGUCGAACGGAAAGGCACUGCUUUUGUGGGGUGCUCGAGUGGCGAACGGGUGAGUAACACGUGAGUAACCUGCCCUUGACUUUGGGAUAAAUUCAGGAAACUGGGGCUAAUACCGGAUAGGAGCUCCUGCUGCAUGGUGGGGGUUGGAAAGUUUCGGCGGAUGGGGAUGGACUCGCGGCGUAUCAGCGUGUUGGUGGGGUAGUGGCUUACCAAGGCUUUGACGGGUAGCCGGCCUGAGAGGGUGACCGGCCACAUUGGGACUGAGAUACGGCCCAUACUCCUACGGGAGGCAGCAGUGGGGAAUAUUGCACAAUGGGCGGAAUCCUGAUGCAGCAACGCCGCGUGCGGGAUGACUGCCUUCGGGUUGUAAACCGCUUUCGCCUGUGACGAAGCGUGAGUGACGGUAAUGGGUAAAGAAGCACCGGCUAACUACGUG
rnacentral:rRNA from 1 species